rnacentral:lncRNA from 1 species
UUUUAUCCGCCGCCUACCCUGGCUCGCUCUCUUCUUCAACCGCCCCACACCUUUCUCUUUCUUUUCUCUCUUUCUGUAGUGGUCCUCUCUUUCACAUCGAGAGGAUAUGUUAGAUCUGGGAUUGACGGCGACGGCGUCGAGUUUUGCUGUCGAGAAUGAUAGGCGGCAGGAGGAUGAGGCGGCGAGUGGCGAAGAGGAUGACGGGUUAGAGACUUAUAUUUUCUAUUCUUUAUCAAUCCGUGUUCUGUGUUUUCUCUGUAUGUUCUGUUAUGUAUACUAUUUUGCAUGUUCAAUAUUUAUAUUAACAAUAAAAAAUUCUUACCUGUUUUCAUUCUCAAUAUUUUUUUAGCACUGAGAUUUUAGUCUUCUUGUUUGAUUAAUAUUAAUAUUAAAUGGAAUAUUCAUAUUCAGCAGGGAAAAGAAAAAAAAAAUAUAAUGUUGCCGGAUGACGAGAGGCGCAAAAUCCAGUACACAAUAGAGUACGCGUUAUUUGCUAUAGUGUACAACACUCUGGAGCCGGAUCCUCCAGGACAGUCGGUGUUCGAAAUAAUGCAGAAUUGUGGAGGUGAGUACAAGAGCAUACCAAUACUGGUGCCACACGAUUGGAAGCCUUGCCUUAAAGCGGCCCAACGGAUGGUGGAGCAGCCGUGUUGUCGUCAAUUGAAAGAACAUGUUUUGCAGCCGCACCGUACGUGUUGUACAGGAUAACUUGAGCGCAAGGGCCAAUUAUAUCCGCUACCUAGGGAGAGCUAACCGCUACCUCUUCAAGGCUCGCCUUUACAUGAAUGACGCUUGCGUUGAAGAAGAUAGGGCUGGAGAGAAGAAACAAACUGAGGCUAUGGAAGCAAAAUUAAGGACAACUGAUGAAG